rnacentral:lncRNA from 1 species
UGAGGAUGUAACCCUCCACUUUGGGCUUCGAAGAUGGAGGAAAGGACCACAAGCCAAGAAAGGGGGAUCCCACCAGUCCCUUUCUAUGGGGGAGAACUUGGAGUGGUUCUGCUGUCAGUUUACACAGUGAGAUCUUACACCAUAUGUAACUCUCAAGGCUGGAGAGAUGAUAUGCCGCCAACAUGGUUGGGAAACAUGGAGAAGCAGAAAGCUCGUAGCUGGACUACCCUACAAGGAGAAGUGGCUUCUGUGAAAUUGUAAAAUGCUGCACACUGCUGCUCUUCCUCCCUGGUUAUUCUCCUUCUGAACCCUCAUAUAUUAUUUUAAAAAUUUUAAACAAAUAAACAAGCAAAACACAAGGAUGCAUAAGUCAGCCUUUCUUCCAGCUCUCUGGCUUGGUGGAGGGAUGGAAGUAGGGUGGAAACGGAAAAACACAUUGUCGGGCCAAAUAGUAUUUUACCUCCAAACAUGGGCCACC